rnacentral:rRNA from 1 species
CGUAGGUGGCAAGCGUUGUCCGGAAUUAUUGGGCGUAAAGCGUACGCAGGCGGUUUCUUAAGUCUGAUGUGAAAGCCCACGGCUCAACCGUGGAGGGUCAUUGGAAACUGGGGAACUUGAGUACAGAAGAGGAGAGUGGAAUUCCACGUGUAGCGGUGAAAUGCGUAGAGAUGUGGAGGAACACCAGUGGCGAAGGCGACUCUCUGGUCUGUAACUGACGCUGAGGUACGAAAGCGUGGGGAGCGAACAGGAUU